GCAUUAAUGGGGUAGUGGUAACCUGGGUCGUUGCCAUCGUUGCCAUCGUCGAACUUUCGCUAGUUUCGACCCGCCGGGGGUUCGAUUCCCCCUUAAUGCA